AUACGGAGGGUGCAAGCGUUAUCCGGAAUCACUGGGUUUAAAGGGUGCGUAGGCGGCCUUGUAAGUCAGAGGUGAAAUACACGAGCUUAACUGGUGAAUUGCCUUUGAAACUAUCAAGCUAGAAUUAUGUUGAGGUCAGCGGAAUGAGUCAUGUAGCGGUGAAAUGCAUAGAUAUGACUUAGAACACCAAUUGCGUAGGCAGCUGGCUAGGCAUUAAUUGACGCUGAGGCACGAAAGCGUGGGGAGCGAACAGGAUUAGAUACCCGAGUAGUCC
rnacentral:rRNA from 1 species